GGAGAGACCGCUGAGUGGCACAGUGCCUGCCUAGCAAACAUGAGGUCCUGGGUUUGAUUCUCAGUAUCUCUU
rnacentral:tRNA from 1 species